rnacentral:lncRNA from 1 species
UAAAAUAUGAGAUAAUGAGUUUAUAUACUACAAAAUAUAGGAAGAAGCAAAAGACGAAACUACCCUUACACUAGUAAGUUUAUUACAUUAACACGGAUGAUACCACAAUUCCUACAAAUUCUUUUAGGCAUCCUAAAAUGUAAAUUCCGACAUUUAUUAGAAAAUCUCCCACCAAUCCUCCAGCAUUUUAAGAAAAUGUUAUUUUUAAAAAAACUCUCAUACAUACCGACAAAAUUUGCAAAUUGAUAAAGUUGUCUUUGGACUUGAACCCAACUUUAAAACGGAUGUUGUUUUAAAAAAUCUCUCAUUAUACUUGCCAAGUUUACAAAUAGAUGAAGGCGUAUUUUGGACAUGAUCCAUACUUAGCAAAAAUGUGUCACGUGUUGACUAAGGUGACAUGGUAGCUAGGCUUUAAACUAACAGUCC